GAGUGGCUGAGGCAGCGGGCGUACCCUGCUCGGGUUUUGCCACUGCCCGCAGCAAGCGUGCUUCGCAUCUUGCGAACAAGGCCCCAUUUAUCUCCGGCCCCCGGAGCAUGGGUGGCACAUAAGGCGUAGGCUCUCUAGCUCGCUGGUGCGAUACCCGGUUGUUGGGCUCGUGCAAGCUCGCGCGUGCCCUGCACCCUGUGUCGCCCACGAAGCUCCAGGUGGGGCGCGGUGCCGGGGCUCUCCGCGUCGCGUUCCGCCUUUGCCCUGCAAGCCCUGUCAUCUUACGGAAGAGCUAUCCAUAAGUCGUGUCCUUUGGCUGACGCCGGUUCCGUUUUCGCGCGAACCYGGCUGUUGACUUUGCCGAACGUCCCCUACAGCAGCGACGGGCUCGUCCCUAGGUUGUGGGGGUAUGUGCGGUUA
rnacentral:misc_RNA from 1 species